AACGAACGCUGGCGGCAGGCCUAACACAUGCAAGUCGAACGCCGUAGCAAUACGGAGUGGCAGACGGGUGAGUAACACGUGGGAACGUACCCUUCGGUUCGGGAUAACUCAGGGAAACUUGAGCUAAUACCGGACACGUCCGAGAGGAGAAAGAUUUAUUGCCGAGGGAUCGGCCCGCGUCUGAUUAGCUUGUUGGUGAGGUAACGGCUCACCAAGGCGACGAUCAGUAGCUGGCUGAGAGGAUGAUCAGCCACAUUGGGACUGAGACACGGCCCAAACUCCUACGGGAGGCAGCAGUGGGGAAUAUUGGACAAUGGGCGCAAGCCUGAUCCAGCCAUGCCGCGUGAGUGAUGAAGGCCCUAGGGUUGUAAAGCUCUUUUACCC
rnacentral:rRNA from 1 species